GGGGAAUAUUGCACAAUGGGCGGAAGCCUGGUGCAGCGACGCCGCGUGAGGGAUGACGGCCUUCGGGUUGUAAACCUCUUUCAGCAGGGACGAAGCGCAAGUGACGGUACCUGCAGAAGAAGCGCCGGCCAACUACGUGCCAGCAGCCGCGGUAAGACGUAGGGCGCGAGCGUUGUCCGGAUUUAUUGGGCGUAAAGAGCUCGUAGGCGGCUUGUCGCGUCGACUGUGAAAACCCGCGGCUCAACCGCGGGCCUGCAGCCGAUACGGGCAGGCUAGAGUUCGGUAGGGGAGACUGGAAUUCCUGGUGUAGCGGUGAAAUGCGCAGAUAUCAGGAGGAACACCGGUGGCGAAGGCGGCAUCCUGGACCAACACUGACGCUGAGGAGCGAAAGCCAGGGGAGCAAA
rnacentral:rRNA from 1 species